rnacentral:rRNA from 1 species
GAACGUACGCUGGCGGCACGCCUAACACAUGCAAGUCGAACGCAGUAGCAAUACUGAGUGGCAAACGGGUGAGUAUAAUGUGGGAAUCUGCCUUUUGGUUUGGAAUAACACGGGGAAACUUGUGCUAAUACCGAAUAAGCCCUUACGGGGAAAGUUUUAAUGCCGAAAGAUGAGCCCGCACUUGAUUAGCUAGUUGGUAAGGUAAAAGCUUACCAAGGCAACGAUCAAUAGCUGAUUUGAGAGGAUGAUCAGCCACAUUGGGACUGAGACACGGCCCAAACUCCUACGGGAGGCAGCAGUGGGGAAUCUUGCACAAUGGAGGAAACUCUGAUGCAGCGAUGCCGCGUGAGUGAAGAAGGCCCUUGGGUUGUAAAGCUCUUUCGUCGGGGAAGAAAAUGACUGUACCCGAAUAAGAAGGUCCGGCUAACUUCGUGCCAGCAGCCGCGGUAAUACGAAGGGACCUAGCGUAGUUCGGAAUUACUGGGCUUAAAGAGUUCGUAGGUGGUUGAAAAAGUUAGUGGUGAAAUCCCAGAGCUUAACUCUGGAACUGCCAUUAAAACUUUUCAGCUAGAGUAUGAUAGAGGAAAGCAGAAUUUCUAGUGUAGAGGUGAAAUUCGUAGAUAUUAGAAAGAAUACCAAUUGCGAAGGCAGCUUUCUGGAUCAUUACUGACACUGAGGAACGAAAGCAUGGGUAGCGAAGAGGAUUAGAUACCCUCGUAGUCCAUGCCGUAAACGAUGUGUGUUAGACGUUGGAAAUUUAUUUUCAGUGUCGCAGGGAAACCGAUAAACACGCCGCCUGGGGAGUACGACCGCAAGGUUAAAACUCAAAUGAAUUGACGGGGACCCGCACAAGUAGUGGAGCAUGUGGUUUAAUUCGAAGAUACGCGCAGAACCUUACCAACACUUGACAUGUUCGUCGCGACUCUAAGAGAUUAGAGUUUUCGGUUCGGCCGGACGAAACACAGGUGCUGCAUGGCUGUCGUCAGCUCGUGUCGUGAGAUGUUGGGUUAAGUCCCGCAACGAGCGCAACCCUCACUUUUAGUUGCCAUCAUUAAGUUGGGCACUCUGAAAGAACUGCCAGUGAUAAGCUGGAGGAAGGUGGGGAUGACGUCAAGUCCUCAUGGCCCUUACGUGUUGGGCUACACACGUGCUACAAUGGUAUCUACAACAGGAAGCAAGACUGCGAAGUUAAGCAAAUCCCUAAAAGAUACCUCAGUUCGGAUUGCACUCUGCAACUCGAGUGCAUGAAGCUGGAAUUACUAGUAAUCGUGGAUCAGCGUGCCACGGUGAAUGCGUUCCCGGGUCUUGUACACACCGCC